rnacentral:rRNA from 1 species
UACGUAGGGUGCGAGCGUUAAUCGGAAUUACUGGGCGUAAAGCGUGCGCAGGCGGUUUUGUAAGCCAGAUGUGAAAGUCCCGGGCUCAACCUGGGAAUGGCAUUUGGGACUGCAAGGCUGGAGUUUGGCAGAGGAGACUGGAAUUCCUGGUGUAGCAGUGAAAUGCGUAGAUAUCUGGAGGAACAUCCGUGGCGAAGGCGACUACCUGGACCAGCACUGACACUGAGGCACGAAAGCGUGGGGAGCAAACAGG